rnacentral:rRNA from 1 species
GACGAACGCUGGCGGCGUGCCUAAUACAUGCAAGUAGAACGCUGAAGGAGGAGCUUGCUUCUCUGGAUGAGUUGCGAACGGGUGAGUAACGCGUAGGUAACCUGCCUGGUAGCGGGGGAUAACUAUUGGAAACGAUAGCUAAUACCGCAUAAUAGCAGUUAUUGCAUGAUAACUGUUUGAAAGGUGCAAUUGCACCACUACCAGAUGGACCUGCGUUGUAUUAGCUAGUUGGUGGGGUAACGGCUCACCAAGGCGACGAUACAUAGCCGACCUGAGAGGGUGAUCGGCUACACUGGGACUGAGACACGGCCCAGACUCCUACGGGAGGCAGCAGUAGGGAAUCUUCGGCAAUGGACGGAAGUCUGACCGAGCAACGCCGCGUGAGUGAAGAAGGGUGUCGGAUCGUAAAGCUCUGUUGUAAGAGAAGAACGAGUGUGAGAGUGGAAAGUUCACACUGUGACGGUAUCUUACCAGAAAGGGACGGCUAACUACGUG